rnacentral:lncRNA from 1 species
AGAGAGACAGACAGGCCUCCUAGUCUGCAGAGAGAGACAGACAGGCCUCCUAGUCUGCAGAGAGAGACAGACAGGCCUCCUAGUCUGCAGAGAGAGACAGACAGGCCUCCUAGUCUGCAGAGACAGAGAGACAGGCCUCCUAGUCUGCAGAGAGAGACAGACAGGCCUCCUAGUCUGCAGAGAGAGACAGACAGGCCUCCUAGUCUGCAGAGAGAGACAGACAGGCCUCCUAGUCUGCAGAGAGAGACAGACAGGCCUCCUAGUCUGCAGAGAGAGAGACAGACAGGCCUCCUAGUCUGCAGAGAGAGAGACAGACAGGCCUCCUAGUCUGCAGAGAGAGACAGACAGGCCUCCUAGUCUGCAGAGAGAGACAGACAAGCCUCCUAGUCUGCAGAGAGACAGACAGGACGCAGACUAGGAGGCUGUCUUCUCUCCUCUCCUUCCAUCUUUAAAUAAUCCAAGUGCAAAUCCAAAAAGCUCCUCAGUUCAGCGUCUCAAUAAAGUUAUUAUUAACACCUCAGUUCAGCGUCUCAAUAAAGUUAUUAUUAACACCACAGUUCAGUGUCUCAAUAAAGUUAUUAUUCACACACACAAAAAUAAACCUGGUUUCCAAUGUUUCAUGCAACAGUUUGUUAAAACAAAAAAGUGAGAUAAGCCAAAAAAAUAUAUAUAUAUCUGGAAUUAAGUAAACAAAUAUUAUUAUUGUUGUUGUUGAUUGAAUGAUAUUUGGUAGAGCGGUUGUUUAACACGGUUGAAUACUGGCACAGCACUGGCAGAAUAAUACUCAAGGGGGUUUGUAUUGUACGCUAAUGCUUUUAAGUUAUUCAGUACAGUCAAGGAACGCGACGUCAAAACAACACAACUAGCAACUUCUACCAGUCAAAUAAAACUACUGGGAGAGAAACAACAGUUUUUAUUAUUAUUUUGUUCGUUUUUUUUUUUUAAAGACACUAAAUAAAAAUCGAAGUAAAUAAAUGAAGGUCCAUGGCUUUGCCUAAUGCUGUUUUGAAGCUUUCACACAUUGUGCAUCAUCAUAACUCAACAAUCAACAUUGUAAAUAGUGGCUAAAUCUAUGUUUAUUAUUUAAAGGCAUUGUGUUUACGACCAACGAUAGGUUACAUUCACCCCCCCAGCGAUGACAGACAGAGAGCCAUCUAGGGAGGUAUGAAGAAGCCAAAACACCCCCUUCCCGAUUCAACAGGACCGAUUCUAAAAUGGCUGCCUGCUCC